rnacentral:rRNA from 1 species
GUCUACAGCCAUGCUACCCUGAACAAGCCUGAUCCAGUCUGAUCUUGGAAGCUAAGGAGGGUCGGGCCUGGUUAGUACUUGGAUGGGAGACCAACUAAGAAGACCAGGUGCUGUAGGCA